rnacentral:lncRNA from 1 species
GGUUGAACGGAGCGUCGGGUGGCUGUUUUUUGGCGCUGGGCGGUUCUGUGGCUUUAGGCAAACUGUCGGGCGGCCAUUUUUGGCGCCGGGCGGUGGUCCGCUGGGCCUGGGCUUGAAUUUUGUCACUUUUCUUGAUUAUAAAUACCCCUAUUGCGAGUUCAGAGUCAUUCUUUUGACAGGGGAGAACGAUCAGACCUAAUUUUGCUCUCUGGAGAGGAUCUCUUGGAUGCUUAGGCUCCUUUUCAUCUUUUCUAGGGUUUGCUCUUCCAUCUUUCUUCCAUUUUUCAUCUAGUUUCACCAUGUCUAUGGUGAACUAAACCCUAUUGUUGUUGGGAGAAACAAUGUAAUCUUUUGAUGCUCUCUUUUAUUGAAACUCUUGAUUAUUUAUAUGGUCUCCAUAUGUUUUGAUUGAUAAUUGUUGGUUUAUCAUCUGUGCUUAAGGCCUUUAUCGUUUAACUCAUUCGAUAACUGAUGUUUGUCUUUAUUGAUAUGGGGACGUACAAUAAUGACAUGAACUGGUGAGUAAUCUCUUGAUUUUGCAAUACCACCUAGGGAUAGGGGUAGGACGAUCAAUUGCGCUAACUUUUGUUUAUAAUGCGGUAUUAAUUACUAGGGGAGGCUAGGGAUAGCAAGCCANUAGUUAAUAUUAGGCCCUUUUCGCCGAGGGAUCGGGUUAAGGGGAGGCUAAGAAAGUCGCAUAACAAUUAAUUAAUCAAACUAAUAUUCAAGAGGAGUAGAUAAGAGAGAGAGGAUUAGAUGAAAUUGUCAAACCCCAACAACAUCCAUUCAUCCAUUGUUUUCGUUUGUCAAUUGAAUCAACUUUAUUUUNCAUGUUAAUAUUUUUGUUCUCAAAUCCAAUUUAUUAAUUUUUAUUUUCAAGUCUUAUUAUUUUAAUUCACGCGAACGAGAAAACCAUUCGAGUCUCUUGGGAAAACGAUACUUGGUCUUACCAUUUAUA